GAGUAAUUAGUUCAAUGGUGGAACGUUUGCUUUACACGCAAAAUGUUAAUGGUUCGAAACCAUUAUUGCUCA
rnacentral:tRNA from 7 species